rnacentral:rRNA from 1 species
AUUGAACGCUGGCGGCAUGCUUUACACAUGCAAGUCGAGCGGCAGCGCGGGGGCAACCCUGGCGGCGAGCGGCGAACGGGUGAGUAAUGCAUCGGAACGUAUCCUCGAGUGGGGGAUAACCCAGCGAAAGUUGGGCUAAUACCGCAUGAGCUCUGAGGAGGAAAGCGGGGGACCUGCGAGGGCCUCGCGCUGGAGGAGCGGCCGAUGUCCGAUUAGCUAGUUGGUGGGGUAAAGGCUUACCAAGGCGACGAUCGGUAGCUGGUCUGAGAGGAUGAUCAGCCACACUGGGACUGAGACACGGCCCAGACUCCUACGGGAGGCAGCAGUGGGGAAUUUUGGACAAUGGGGGCAACCCUGAUCCAGCCAUGCCGCGUGAGUGAAGAAGGCCUGCGGGUUGUAAAGCUCUUUCGGACGGAACGAAAUGGGCGGGACUAAUACUCCUGUCUGAUGACGGUACCGUAAGAAGAAGCGCCGGCUAACUACGUG